rnacentral:miRNA from 1 species
CUAGAUCAUGCUGGCAGCUUC